rnacentral:misc_RNA from 1 species
AAAUCUCAACCUUCUCGGUUUCUUCUGGACACCGAAGGAGGCUUGGACUUUGGAGGCCUUUGCUGGCGUCUCUCUCUUUUGAAGGCCAGCUCCUCUUAAAUGAAUUAGCAGGGUCCUCUUUGCCAAUCCUCGACGUGUGAUAAGAUGUUUCCAUGUCUUGGCUUCUGGCUCUGUGGCUUUUGGGACCCGCUUCUAACCGUCUCUGAGACAACGUUUGAGCACGUCUCCCUUCUCGGGAAACGCUCUCAACCCCACGAAC